rnacentral:rRNA from 1 species
UUCUAGACUAAAUACUAUUAAUAAGUGUAUAAAGUACCGUAAGGGAAAGUAUAAAAAUGAUUAUUUUAUAAGCAAUCAUAAAUAUAAAAAUUAUAUUAAUGAUGUACCUUUUGUAUAAUGGGUCAGCAAGUAAUUAAUAUUAGUAAAAUUAAAAGUUAUAAAUAAAUAGAAAAAAAUAUAUAUAUAUAAAAUAAUAUAUUAAAAUAUUUAAUUAAUAUUAAUUGACCCGAAAGCAGACGAUCUAACUAUGAUAAGAUGGGUAAACGAUCGAACAGGCCGAUGUUGCAAUAUCAUCUGAUUAAUUGUGGUUAGUAGUGAAAGACAAAUCUGGUUUGCAGAUAGCUGGUUUUCUAUGAAAUAUAUGUAAGUAUAGCCUUUAUAAAUAAUAAUUAUUAUAUAAUAUUAUAAAAUAUUAUAUAAAGAAUGGUACAGCAAUUAAUAUAUAUUGGGGAACUAUUAAAGUUUUAUUAAUAAUAUUAAAUCUCGAAAUAUUUAAUUAUAUAUAAUAAAGAGUCAGAUUAUGUGCGAUAAGGAAAUAAUCAAAAGGGAAACAG